GAAUUUUGGACAAUGGGCGAAAGCCUGACCCAGCAAUGCCGCGUGCAGGAUGAAGGCCUUCGGGUUGUAAACUGCUUUUGUACGGAACGAAAAGCUUGGGGUUAACACCCUGGAGUCAUGACGGUACCGUAAGAAUAAGCACAGGCGACAUACGUGCCAACCGCCGCGGUAAUACGUAGGGUGCAAGCGUUAAUCGGAAUUACUGGGCGUAAAGCGUGCGCAGGCGGUUUUGUAAGACAGAGGUGAAAUCCCUGGGCUCAACCUGGGAACUGCCUUGGUGACUGCAAGGCUAGAGUACGGCAGAGGGGGGUGGAAUUCCGCGUGUAGCAGUGAAAUGCGUAGAUAUGCGGAGGAACACCGAUGGCGAAGGCAACCCCCUGGGCCUGUACUGACGCUCAUGCACGAAAGCGUGGGGAGCAAACAG
rnacentral:rRNA from 1 species